rnacentral:rRNA from 1 species
GACGAACGCUGGCGGCGUGCUUAACACAUGCAAGUCGAACGGAAAGGCCCUGCUUUUGUGGGGUGCUCGAGUGGCGAACGGGUGAGUAACACGUGAGUAACCUGCCCUUGACUUUGGGAUAACUUCAGGAAACUGGGGCUAAUACCGGAUAGGAGCUCCUGCUGCAUGGUGGGGGUUGGAAAGUUUCGGCGGUUGGGGAUGGACUCGCGGCUUAUCAGCUUGUUGGUGGGGUAGUGGCAUACCAAGGCUUUGACGGGUAGCCUGCCUGAGAGGGUGACCGGCCACCUUGGGACUGAGAUACGGCCCAGAGUCCUACGGGAGGCAGCAGUGGGGAAUAUUGCACAAUGGGCGGAAGCCUGAUGCAGAAGCGCCGCGUGCGGGAUGACGGCCUUCGGGUUGUAAACCGCUUUCGCCUGUGACGAAGCGUGAGUGACGGUAAUGGGUAAAGAAGCACCGGCUAACUACGUG